ACUACGGGAGGCAGCAGUGGGGGAUAUUGCACAAUGGGGGGAACCCUGAUGCAGCGACGCCGCGUGGGUGAAGAAGCGCCUCGGCGCGUAAAGCCCUGUCAGCAGGGAAGAAAAUGACGGUAACUGAAGAAGAAGCCCCGGCUAACUACGUGCCAGCAGCCGCGGUAAUACGUAGGGGGCAAGCGGUAGCCGGAUGUACUGGGUGGAAAGGGGGCGGAGACGGCGAUGAAAGCCAGGAGUGAAAGCCCGGGGCCCAACCCCGGGAGUGCUCUUGGAACUGCGUGGCUGGAGUGCAGGAGGGGCAGGCGGAAUUCCUGGUGUAGCGGUGAAAUGCGUAGAUAUUAGGAGGAACACCAGUGGCGAAGGCGGCCUGCUGGACUGCAACUGACGUUGAGGCCCGAAAGCGUGGGGAGCAAACAGGAUUAGAUACCCGGGUAGUC
rnacentral:rRNA from 1 species